rnacentral:rRNA from 1 species
CUUGACAUCCAGCGAACUUUCCAGAGAUGGAUUGGUGCCUUCGGGAACGCUGAGACAGGUGCUGCAUGGCUGUCGUCAGCUCGUGUUGUGAAAUGUUGGGUUAAGUCCCGNAACGAGCGCAACCCUUUAUCCUUUGUUGCCAGCGAUUCGGUCGGGAACUCAAAGGAGACUGCCGGUGAUAAACCGGAGGAAGGUGGGGAUGACGUCAAGUCAUCAUGGCCCUUACGAGUAGGGCUACACACGUGCUACAAUGGCGCAUACAAAGAGAAGCGACCUCGCGAGAGCAAGCGGACCUCAUAAAGUGCGUCGUAGUCCGGAUCGGAGUCUGCAACUCGACUCCGUGAAGUCGGAAUCGCUAGUAAUCGUGGAUCAGAAUGCCACGGUGAAUACGUUCCCGGGCCUUGUACACACCGCCCGUCACACCAUGGGAGUGGGUUGCAAAAGAAGUAGGUAGCUUAACCUUCGGGAGGGCGCUUACCACUUUGUGAUUCAUGACUGGGGUGAAGUCGUAACAAGGUAAGCGUAGCGAG